UGAGGCCACGUGAAGUGGCUCUCCUCCUCCUCUGCUCUACUUUCGGCGCUGCUCCUCUGCGCACACUGGUGGCAGCUCCAACUCUUCUUUGGCCUUAGCCCCUGGAGCAGUGUUUCUCAGCUAGCCGCCUUACCUGUCUGCUCGACGGCAGAGGAGAUGGCCUGCAGGGCGCAGGUUGUGACUCCACUAGGCCCCACCUGCGGUGCCUUCUUACCUACUCAGCCUUUGAAUCUCCGUUCAAGCUCGAGCAUCCCUGAAGUAACCGCCUGCAUCCCUAAAGCUCGAGCAUCCCUUAAGUAAUAUCUUGCAAUCUCUCAGCAUAAGGGUAAGUGGAUGGAUUUCAGUAUGUCACUUUGUAGAUUAACAGAUUGUAACUAUGAUUCCUGUACAGUGGCUAGCAGUGGCCAGCUCAAGCCUAACGCUAGCCUGCCAUGCGCAUCCACCUCAUCUCCAAUGCCAGUCAUCCCACAGGUGUUUGAUUGAAUGCUUAUGAGAGGUUGGAAAUUAUAUUCCACUAACUAAUAUGUUUUUUUGCAGCAAUUGUAGUUUUUUUUUUGCCUUUUUGUACCAAUCGGGAGUAGCAUUCCGGCGCUAGGGAAACACCCAUUUAUUGCAAACUGGAUUCUGAACAUGUUCAGAUUUCUCAAAUUGAUAUACUGUACAGUUCAUCUGUCCUCCAAGGAAGAACAUCUUCGGUGGUUCUGGAGGACAGAAGCGAAACGAGGGAGCUGGCAUUUAGAAGUUGGAAAUGCAUCUAUUGCAUCGCAUGCCACUGGGUGCUCUUGGAUGGUGGUGCUCUCCGACAGAGUCUACUUGCUGCAGUCCAUCCAACACCACAACUGAGGGUCAAUCUUGCACUACAUUCUCUUCCAGGGUCCAUCCUAGGUUCAAACUACAUAUUUAUUUGGUCGCUUGCCUAUAAAGGUUGGAUCUUGGUUUGCUUCCCACACAAUUUGCUCAGUAUUUAAUACAUAGUCCUAGGUUUACUAAAAUCUGCAUAGGAAUGCGAACUUUGCAAAACUUUUGUAGGAGAUUUGCGGCUCUCUGAUGGUACUUGGUUGAUAUGGUAGUAUUGUUCAUAUUCCUUUCAGUCCAGCCUCGGUGGGAACUAUCGUUGACGGUUUUCACGUAUCUUUCAGUUAGGUGCGGACUAAGUUGUGUUGUUGAUACAUGUGAAGCAGAUCCAUGAAUUAGAACAUCAUUCACGGAAUCUCAAUGGUGAUUUGACAAUGUUAGACCUUUGGAUAUACGAUCACCUUUUAUUUUCCUCUGUGUAAAGCUGUCAUCGGUUGGGAUUACUUAUUUAUAGGCUUGACACACACUCCUGUUUGCAAUAUAAUUAAUGUGUUGUAAAGUUGGUCCUGAAAUAUUAAUUAUUGUGUCCAUAGGCUAAUCAUAGUUCUUUGGGGCAGAUAACUAUCUCCAGAAAAAUACUAAUGCGGUUCUGUUUGGCUCAAUGUGCUGACUCCGCUUCAUUUGAAUGGGGCACGUUCUACACAUCAACAUCAGAGGUGGUGUUCAGAUGAACAUAAUUCAUUAGCUGGAAUACUGAGCUUCAAGAUUAGGCGACUUUUGAUUUAACUGGAAGUUUUCCUGUCCAUGGAUCAGUAGCAUGCUAACAAGGUGAAGACCUUUGCCUGACACAAACUACAAAUAAGAACGAGUUGAUGCUCUAAAAGCAAGCAACUGUUGGCAAUACCACCACCAAUUUGGAUUACUCUUUUAAUAAUUCUUUUUGUAACAUAUAUGUUUGUGCUAUAAUCAUCCUAUUGGACCGUACUGCAGAAUUAAUAUGUAAUUUUUUAUCUACUUAUUCUUGUCUUAAGACUGAGUGUAGUUUCAUUUUUUGUAAGGAAACUUGUCCUCGCAGCAUGCUUCACUUUGUAAUUUCUAUAUCCUAUUCACGGUAUUUUGUUGAUCCA